rnacentral:misc_RNA from 1 species
UUUGUGAAUUUCCUUUUGUUGGUCGAUCUUUUUUAAUUGCACGACGUUUCUUCCAAAGACGAUGAAAAAAUUCAAACAUGUUUGUGUAAGAAUUGAAGUUAAUCGUGCUAUGUUGAGCGUCUGAACGCGCAAUAUUUCUCCUCAUCAAAGAAGAGUUAAUUUAAACAUGCGGCAAGCUUUCACUGCAGUAUUGGAAACAGUUUUCGAUUCAUUUUUGGACGAUAAUUUUGAAUGAGCGUAACACGACAGAGUGCAUCGCCUUUUGUCUCAAAUAUUUGCUCUCUUCAUUUACACCUUUUAAAAAACAUCUGGAAUACGUAACGAUGAAUAGAAUAUGGAGAUCUCGAAUUGGCGACACUUGAAAAAAGCUAAUGAGUACAGCUCUGUCAGCCUAAAUUUUAAGCAUCACGUAUUUACUGAGCUGAUAAGAUUAUACGACAAUUCAAAAGGAGUUUACUUGCAUUAUUAAUGCUUAACGUAACACCACGAAGAAAGCUGGCGGCAAAAUAGAUCCAAGACAGUUAAAUAUUUUGUUAUUCCGAGUGUCGAAUUCACAAUCACUUUCGAUGAGUGAUGUAAAAAGUGAUUGUCUCACUCUCAAAUUUUUGACAUUUUGAAAACCGCAGAAACCAGAAUUUUUUUCCUUUAAAGCCUUUUGCGGAGUGAUUCAUUUUCAAGGGUUGAAUUAAACAUUUCAAGUCGAACAAUAAACGAUGGUUAAUAUCAACAAACUCUAACUUGAGAGGAAAAAAUUUGUUUACUGCUACUGGAUAAUCCAUCUAUAAUAUUCCUUCUUAAAAUGUAAUAUAGAGGCAUAGAAUGUUAGAAAAAGCGCUUAUUUAAAAAAAAUUCAAUAAACAAGUGAAACAGAGAAUUUACGAACUUCUGUUCACAGUCAUUCUGAAGUAAUUUGAAAACAAGCGGCCUGAGGUAAAUUUUCACUUAACAAAGCUGGCUUUGAAUCUCUUCUAGAACCUACAGAAAAAAAUAUUCAAGGGAAAUCGAAUUAUGCACAAAAAAAAAAGUUACGUUAUUAGAUAGGGCGACUGGAAUCUUCGAACCUUGAGGCUUAUAAACAAUACGUUGACUGUUUUAAACAUUCCGCCUAUCGCUUAAAAAUUAGAAAAUCGAAACUACAUUUGGACAUCAUGGGCAAAAUAUAUCAUAUUGAUCGAUAGUGCGUUAGGAAUUGAAAAGUUUCGAGUUUUUCAUGUCACACGAUAGAAAUCCAUUGUCAUUUGGCACUUGUGAUGAAAUAUCCUUUUCAUGACGUCAUUGAAGGACAUGUUUAACAAGGCAAUAUUAGAUUGUCAAAUACCCUCGUCAAAGUCAUUCCUAAUAAGGGCUUUGCGCAGAUCUGAAUACUGAUGCUAAUGGCCGGCUUUUUUCGCUCGUCAAUUCCAUAUGCCCUCAAGGUAUAAAUUCAGUCUACCAGGAUUUUUUUUAUCGACCCACGAACAUUGGUUUUCCGCAUCCCAAAAGACGCAGCCUCGACCAAAGAAGAACCCAUUAACCAGGAUCAUUUACUGAUCUCCGUUUACACGUGGAGGAAGACUGGAUCCCGGAACGUCUAUUGAGAUUUUAUCAUUCGUGCUGGCCUUCGGAUUAUUCUCUGUAGCUAUGAUUUUAGCAAUGGCUUUUCACCUCCUGUGCUUUGAAGAAAGAAAGCCGACUGUGAAGGCUGUUUUAAAAAGACACAGCAGACUUAAAAACAUUGCCGACUACACCUUAGUGUGACAUUCAAGGUAUUGAUGUUUACCCUUGUAGUCAGAUUUUAAAGCAGAUGGGUAUUCAUACGCAGCGCAAGAAUUGAUGUUAGUGAAAAGAACUACAGGUCCUCCUUUGUAAAAGAAAUGUUUAACUUAUAACUUAGUUAAGGGUGAAGAGAAAAUGAAUAAGAUAUUUUGUAUUAGAAGAGAAUUUCCAUCUUGAGAACUAACUAGAAUACGUUAAAUAUAAUUGUGCUUAGAAGUGGAACCCUUUCAUUCCCAGGAGGAGCAAUAUCUAAUUAAUUUAUACAUACAGUUCAUUCAAUACUUUAUCACGCGUCGAAAUAACCAUCGUUAACAGCGAUUCGAGGUUCAAAUUUUUUUGUUUUUACAGCAUGCGAAUUCUCAAAACUGACUAGACAAGGAUAAGUGUGAGAAACUGUACAGCAAAGAGAACUCGUAUAUUGAGACCAUGACAGUGAAAGGGUUAGGCAAAGAAAGCUUCCCGUAGAGAGCAGAAAUGCCGAUCUCCAUGUAAUUAUUUUGAAUUUAUAAAUAUUCAAACAUACUAUUUCAAAUAAAGCGUUUCACAUCUGA